rnacentral:rRNA from 1 species
UACGUAGGGGGCAAGCGUUAUCCGGAUUUACUGGGUGUAAAGGGAGCGUAGACGGCAGCGCAAGUCUGGAGUGAAAGCCCGUGGCUCAACCGCGGAACUGCUUUGGAAACUGUAUAGCUUGAGUACUGGAGAGGCAGGCGGAAUUCCUAGUGUAGCGGUGAAAUGCGUAGAGAUUAGGAAGAACACCAGUGGCGAAGGCGACUUACUGGACUGUAACUGACGCUGAGGCAUGAGAGCAUGGGGAGCAAACAGG